CUACAAUUUUUGUUGCAAAGUGGUAGCAAAAUGGUAGCAACUUGAAACAAAUAACGGUGGCAAAAUAUUUGUUAUUUUAACGUGAUUCCACAGUAUGAAAAAUUACUGUUAACUCUUCAAAGCAUUCUGCUACAUAAAAAUAACAGUAAAAUUCACGCAACUUUUCAUGAAAAUUUCAACGAGAAAAGUUGCGUGGAUUUCAACCAAAUAACAACCGUGGUAUUCACCAAAACAUGGCACGAAAAAACAACGCAGAUUUAACCUGGAAUGCUAACAAAGAGAAUGCGCGGAAUCCAAAGUUUUGCCUCCACUCCAUCUUUCUCUCUCACAAAGUCAGUUCAAUUAAUUUUAUUUCCAAAAUGUCAUCCCUCCCAGUCAAUAAAUUUUGUAUUAUACAGAUUGACUGUAACGGCGAAAAAUUUGUAGAAAUAGCUCCCACGAUUUGGCUGGAAGAGGAGGAAAAGUUCGUGUUGUGGCCACCAGCUUCUAAACUGAAAAGUUUCAGUAAAAAGGGAAAUGUACAUCCCCUCCCAUCCUGGAGAAGACAGACGUAUCAGAAAAUCCUUGGAAAAUAUGAUACUUGGAAAGUAUGUAGCUUGUGAGAAGGUUAAGAUAGCGGAGGACACUUCCAAUCUUAAGAGUGCGUCAGAGAAUCAUUUGGAAGGCCGAAAGCAGAAACAUAAUCGAGAAUUGUCGCACCCGAACGUGUCAUCAAGCAGCAGCGAGGAUGAGGAAGAGAAUUCCAUUCUAGUUUUACCUCCUCCCAUGAACGAUGAAGGAAGCACUGAAGUACAACUAUCAACUCAAAUUAACGACAACAUUCCUUCAAUAAAUCUACCAGAAGUAGUCAACUUGGAAGGAGAAGACAUUGGCGUGCUUUUGGCCACUUCAGCAGAUAUAAAUGAUUUAAAGAAAUUAAUUGAAGGCAAAUCUUUGCUUAGUUUUUACAGUUUUUAUCAUGUUAUAUCAUUUAAUACUAAAAUAAUGUAAUUUUUGUUGCAGGUUAUAAUACAAGAAUUAUCAAAAUUCUUGAGCGCCAAAACGCAGAAAUUCUAGAGAUAAGAGCAACCCUACAUAAUAUCCGAAUAUCGAACGACGGAGAAGUUGAAGCUGAUUUUUCAUCUAUUCCACAUCAUCAUCUGGAGACGAGAGAACACCUUGAACAGACUGAAAAUUGGCUGAAACUUGCCGACACAAAUCGAGAUUUAUUGAUUGAAUACCUAAGAAUAAAAGGAGGCGAUACUGUUGAGAAAAAUACGAAAAAGGCGUUUAAAAAAUUAGUCAGCCCUGAACUUGCUCGACAAAUAAAUUACACUGGAAAGGGAGGAAAAAUUGCUUUAAAACCUUUGGGAAUUUUCUCGGCUGUAAUUGAAAGUGUGAGAAAAAAUUAUCCUGCUGCAACGGACAACAUAAUUGAAAAAGCAGCAAAAGAUUUCUUCCGUUUUAUAAAAGUAUAAUAUCGUCCUGGCGUGUCAACCCGGAUUUUCAGCUAGAAAUAUAAGAA